rnacentral:misc_RNA from 1 species
GAUGAAGGAACGUAGCGAAAUGCGAUAAGUAAUGUGAAUUGCAGAAUUCCGUGAAUCAUCGAAUCUUUGAACGCACAUUGCGCCCUCUGGUAUUCCGGGGGGCAUGCCUGUCCGAGCGUCAUUUGCAACCCUCAAGCCCGGCUUGUGUGAUGGGUGCCGUCCCCUACGGGACGCGCCCCGAAGGCAAUGGCGGCGUCGCGGUUAUCCGAUCAGCCAAAGUGUAUGGGGCUUUGUCACUCACUUUACGGCCCGGACCGGCGCCAGUCCGAAUCAAUCUUUUUUCUAAAGUUGACCUCGGAUCAGGUAGGGAUACCCGCUGAACUUAAGCAUAUCAAUAAGCGGAGGA